GCCCUUCGGGGUACACGAGCGGCGGACGGAUGAGGGGCGUAGGAACGUACCCCAAACUGAGGGAUAAGCACCAGAAAUGGUGUCUAAUACCGCAUGUGCUCUUCGGAGUAAAGCUACGGCGGUUUGGGAACGGCCUGCGCAAGAUUAGCUUGUUGGUGAGGUAAAAGCUCACCAAGGCGACGAUCUUUAGCUGGUCUGAGAGGAUGACCAGCCAGACUGGAACUGAGAACGGUCCAGACUCCUACGGGAGGCAGCAGUAGGGAAUUUUCCACAAUGGGCGCAAGCCUGAUGGAGCAACGCCGCGUGCAGGAUGAAGGCCUUCGGGUUGUAAACUGCUUUUCUCUGUGACGAUUUUGACGGUAGCAGAGGAAUAAGGGUCUGCUAUCUACGUGCCAGCAGCCGCGGUCAUACGUAGGACCCAAGCGUUAUCCGGAAUUACUGGGCGUAAAGAGUUGCGUAGGUGGCAGAGUAAGUCUGUAGUGAAAGCGUGUGGCUCAACCACAUACACAUUAUGGAAACUACUCAGCUAGAGGAUGAGAGAGGUUAUUGGAAUUCCCAGUGUAGGAGUGAAAUCCGUAGAUAUUGGGAGGAACACCGAUGGCGUAGGCAGAUAACUGGCUCAUUCCUGACACUAAGGCACGAAAGCGUGGGUAGCAAACGGGAUUAGAUACCCCGGUAGUCCACGCUGUAUUCUAUGGAUGCUAGCUGUAUUCGGUAUCGACCCCGGAUGUAGCGAAGCUAACGCGUUAAGCAUCCCGCCUGUGGAGUACGGUCGCAAGACUAAAAACAUAAAGGAAUUGACGGGGACCCGCACAAGCGGUGGAGCGUGUUGUUUAAUUCGAUGGUAAACGAAGAACCUUACCCAGGUUUGACAUCCUUGGAAAUUUCUGCGAAAGCACGAGAAAGUGCUUUAUUGAGCCAAGUGACAGGUGAUGCAUGGCCGUCGUCAGCUCGUGUCGUGAGAUGUUUGGUUAAGUCCAUCAACGAGCGCAACCCUUAUAGUUAGUUGUAUUUUUCUAGCUAGACUGCCCUGGUAACAGGCAGGAAAGAAGGGAUGAUGUCAAGUCAGUAUUUCCCUUAUAUCUGGGGGCUACAACCCC
rnacentral:rRNA from 1 species